UACGUAGGGGGCAAGCGUUGUCCGGAAUUAUUGGGCGUAAAGAGCUUGUAGGCGGUUUGUCGCGUCUGCUGUGAAAUUUCGGGGCUCAACCCCGAACUUGCAGUGGGUACGGGCAGACUAGAGUGUGGUAGGGGAGACUGGAAUUCCUGGUGUAGCGGUGAAAUGCGCAGAUAUCAGGAGGAACACCGAUGGCGAAGGCAGGUCUCUGGGCCACUACUGACGCUGAGAAGCGAAAGCGUGGGGAGCAAACAGG
rnacentral:rRNA from 1 species